rnacentral:rRNA from 1 species
CCUACGGGUGGCAGCAGUGAGGAAUAUUGGUCAAUGGACGAGAGUCUGAACCAGCCAAGUAGCGUGAAGGAUGACUGCCCUAUGGGUUGUAAACUUCUUUUAUAUGGGAAUAAAAUGUUCCACGUGUGGGAUUUUGUAUGUACCAUAUGAAUAAGGAUCGGCUAACUCCGUGCCAGCAGCCGCGGUAAUACGGAGGAUCCGAGCGUUAUCCGGAUUUAUUGGGUUUAAAGGGAGCGUAGGUGGAUUGUUAAGUCAGUUGUGAAAGUUUGCGGCUCAACCGUAAAAUUGCAGUUGAAACUGGCAGUCUUGAGUACAGUAGAGGUGGGCGGAAUUCGUGGUGUAGCGGUGAAAUGCUUAGAUAGCACGAAGAACUCCGAUUGCGAAGGCAGUUCACUGGACUGCAACUGACACUGAGGCUCGAAAGUGUGGGUAUCAAACAGGAGUAGAUACCCGUGUAGUC